rnacentral:miRNA from 1 species
CAGAAAUCAGAAAAAGAGGAAGAAAUGGCUGGUUCUCGGGUAAAUGAGUACUAGGUCAGGGGCUGGGUCAGCUGUUUCUCCAGAAAU